rnacentral:rRNA from 1 species
CCUACGGUGGGCAGCAGUGGGGGAUAUUGCACACUGGGGGGAACCCUUAUGCAGCGACGCCGCGUGGGUGAAGGAGUGCUUCGGCAUGUAAAGCCCUAUCGGCAGGGCAGAAGCAAGACGGUACCUGACUAAGAAGCCCCGGCUGAAUACGUGCCAGCACCCGCGGUAAUACGGAGGGGGCGAGCGUUAUCCGGAUUCACUGGGUGUAAAGGGAGCGUAGACGGCCAUGCCAGCCAGGGGUGAAAGCCCGGGGCCCAACCCCGGGACUGCCCGUGGAACUGCAGGGCUGGAGUGCGGGAGGGGUAGGCGGAAUGCCUGGUGUAGCGGUGAAAUGCGGAGAUAUCAGGAGGAACACCGGCGGCGAAGGCGGCCUGCUGGACCGCGACUGACGUUGAGGCUCGAAAGCGUGGGGAGCGAACAGGAUUAGAUACCCCAGUAGUC